rnacentral:tRNA from 1 species
GCCGAGGUAGCUCAAUGGCAGAGCAGCUGUUUCGUAAAUAGCAGGUUGUGGGUUCGAGCCCCAUCCUCGGCUCCA